ACCCAUCCCCACCAACGUCAACCUAAAGAAGGAAAGGCCGGUUUGCAUUUUCUUCUCGCUCGAAGGUCACGGAGAUCAUUACAUGAACGGCGGAGAGGUUGGGUGAGGACGACACGUGUUUCAUCAUUAUCAAAUAGGUACGCAAGGCUUAAGAUGUGGAUCAGGAUGAGAAAAAAAUCGUAUAUAAGGAGAGAGAAAAGGCGAAAGAAAUUAGUCGAGUGAGCACCUCCGACACGGCAACAACCGUAGCCCACUGUCUGUCACCAACUGCAUCCAUCUCAUCGUAUAACCAAUUCGCUAUCAUGGUUAUAUAAAAGGAGAGAAAAGGCGAAAGAAUCAGUCAAGUGAUUAUCUCCGACACGAUAGCAACUGCCCAGCACUAUUUGUCAUCAACUACAUUCUUCGUCGUAUCACCAGUUUGUAAUCAUAGUAAACUAUGGCUGUCGUGCUGCUGUUUAUUGUUAUCCUCAAAUACCACACCUUCGAGCCUCCAGAAUAUUACACUACAACUUAUGCUGCCCUGAGCUGAAUCACCAAAGUGCCUGAGUACUACACCAUGGCUCCCACUCGAGUACUACACCACCAAGUAACCAAAGUACUAUACGACCAAAGUAUAGUACGACUGUGUGUGCUGCCCCAACCUGCUAAACUGCGACCCCAAGUAUUACUCUGCUUCAGUUACUACACCGAGGUUCCAACUUACUAUACCACACCACACCAAGGCUACAGAAUAUUACACCACAACUUAUGCUGCCCAAGCUACUACACCGCAGCCCAGAAUAAUUAUUCUGCCUCAAGCCAUUUACUUCUGCCCCAGCGAUUACUUCACUAAGGCCCUGGAGUACUACACCACAACCUUCGUUGCCCCAGCUUAUUACAUCGUGGCUCUCAAGUACUACACCACCAAGGCAUCUGAGUACUACACCACCGCGUGUGCUGCAUCAACCUACUACACCGAGACUUCCAAGUAUUACUCUGCUUCAGUUACUACACCGAGACUUCAGUUUACUACACCACAACCUAUGCUUCAUCUAACUACUUCAUCGAAGCCCCCAAGUACUACAUCGAAAAGGUCGAAUAUUACAUAACCACGUACGCUGCUCCAGUUAACUACAUAGAGGAACCUAAUCGAUCAAAGGAGAGAAAAGCGAAAGAAAUCAGCCGAUCUUCAACACGGCAACAGCAAAUGCAGUGCACUAUCUGUCAUCAACUGCCUUCUUUGUCGUAUCACCAGUUCGCAAUCAUGGCGUUGUCUAGUAAACUAUGGCGUCGUGUUGCUGUUGGGUGUUGUAUCGUAAAUGGCUGGAUCGACCAUGGGUGUACUGAUGUUUCCUGAGUAUGGUGGAUACCAAUAGCAGCGAAAGAAUAGUACUACACGUCGCCGCACAACGUCAACAUACGCAACACCACUUACUACAACACUGAGGCUCCUAAGUACUACACCACCAAGGCUCCAGAGUACAACACGAAAAUUAUGCUGCCCCGACCUUCUACAUCGAAGUAUUACUCUGCCCCGAGUCACAUCACGAAAGCGCCCGAGUAAUUUUAAGUUAUACACCACCAAAUCUCCAAGCUUUUACACCGAGGCUCCAGCUUAAUACACCACCAAAGCGGUUGAAUACUACACCGUAGCGUCUAAGUACUACCAUGCAACCUACUGUAGCGCGCUAUUUGUCACCAACUGUGACAUUUCAUCGUAUUAAAUAGGGUUUUAAUCCUUGGCUGUGUUGAUCACUGGUGUAUCGAUGUCUCCUGGAUAUGGCGGAUACCGAAACAGCACCGCCGCCUUACUACACAACAACAACAAAUGCAACAAUCGGUUACUACGCCACCAAGAUUGAAAGUAUUGCACCGAAACUUAUGGUAACAAGAGCCCACUGCAACCCCGAAGUAUUCUCUGCCCGAGCUAUAUCACCAAAGAGUCAGUUUCUACACUGAAGUUUCCAUGUAUUACACCACUAAAGCACCGGAAUACUAGAAGACUACGGAUGCUGUCCUUGCUUACUACACCAAGGCCCCUAAUUACUACAACACCGAAACUAACACACCGACGCCCCGAAAUAUUACUCUGCGUAAAAGGAGUCUAAAAAGGAAGAAACUGCGGCGGACUAUUUGUUACCAACUGGAUUGCUCAUCGUUGAACCAGUUUCCAGUUAUGGGUACUGCACCGACGUUUCAACUUAUUACACCACUAAAGCGGUCGAGUACUAUACCGAAACGCCCCAAAACUACACCACCAAGGCUACAGAAUAUUACACUGCAACUACACUGCAACUUAUGCUGCCCGAGUUAUUACACCGCAUCCCAGAAGUAUUAUUCUGCCCCGAGCCCGAGGAUUUCACUAAGGCCCUGGAGUACUAAACUACAACCUACGUUGCCCAGGCUUACUACACGGUGGCUCCCAAAUACUACUCCACCAAGGCUUCAACUUACUACACCACCAAAGCGGCUGAAUACUACGCCGAAGCGCCCAAGUACUACUCUGUCCUGAGCUACACAACCACAACUGAGCCGUCGGAGUACUUCGUAGCUCCGGAUGACUUCACAGCUGCUCCUUGGACUACAUUGUACUAAAAUACUACACCUAGCCUCCAGUUCGCUACAUCACAACUUAUGCUACAUCGAACUACUACACAGAAGUCUUAUAGCACCUGAAAAGGUGGAAUAUUACCCAAUCACGUAGGCACGUACGCUGCUCCAGUAUACUACACCGAGGAACUCGAUAAAAGGAGAAAGAAAGGCGAUUGAAACAGUUGAAUGAUUAUUUCCAACACGGCAACAUAAAUGCAGUUCACUAUUGAUAAGCAACUUCAUUCUUCGUCGUAUCAUCAGUUUGCAAUUAUAAAAUGGCUUCGUGCUGCAGUUGGGGUUUUGAAUCGGUGAUGGCUGGCUCGACCACUGGUGUAACGAUGUCUCCUGGGUAUGGCGGUUCGACACGACAACAACUGCUGUGCACUAUUUCUUACAAUCUGCAUUCUUCUUCGUAUCACCACUUCGAAAUCAUGGUGUAUCGAUGUUUCCUGGGAAUGGUGAAUAUCAAGCAACAGGAGUGAAAAAAUAGUACAACACAUCGCCGGAUUACCACGCAACAUCUAGAUACGCAACACUACUUACUACACUAAGAGAUUACAAAGUGCUACACCACCAAGGCUUCAAAGUACAAUACGAAAUCUUACUCUGGCACGAGUCACAUUACGUAAGCACCUGAGUACUUAACUAAGACUUCCAAAUUGUACACCUUCAGAAUUUUAAAGUGCAAACUUUUACGUUUAACUACAAUUACGCUUUUCCAAACUACUAUUCAGAUCAUAAUUACUACACAGAUUCUCCGGCUUAUUAUACCAGCAAAGCGUUCAAAUAUUAUACUAAAAUCUA
rnacentral:lncRNA from 1 species